CUCUCUUUGGGUUCAAACCUCAGGCAACCUUCAAAGCCAACUGAAAGGCAGAGAGAGCUCAGUAAAUUACUCAUGCCCUCACUGACCUUCAUCAUCUCUGAAUCCCUAUAUCAUUAGGAGCGAGGAAUUCUGAACUUAUAACGUUGAUUCUCCUCUAAUCCACUAUAAUACCACCUGGUAAUUGUAUAGAGCUUGCACGUACUAUUGCAUUUGGUCCUUACAACCUGGCAAAAUAAAGCAGACCAUUUGUUGAAAUCCCCGUUUUGCGGACUUCUGAGAAGUAGAGUCUCAGAAACCCAUACAGAAUCAUGUAGCUAAGUAGAACGGUUCAGGCCGAGACCCAACAGACUUUCUGCCGCACCAGAAAGGAGACUUCUUCUCCAGAAGAACCGCAACAUCCUUGGAGAGGUAAAAGAAACAUAAGAUACAGCAUCUACUAUCUAUAGACACUGGCAUGGGGCUUUUUCAAAAACAAUGAGGGUGCACUGGUUUAUAGAGGAGGUGAAACUGCCCCAGGAAAUUUUAACGUGUUUGCCGAGUGGUCUGGGAAAAUUCAGAGGGAGCUGACCUGUCCAACUUGUGUCGAACCCUGCUCUGUAAAGACAGUCAUACAGGACAUUACUAACCCCCAGGAGUGCUUCCGGGACCCCUGAGGAACUAGUGGCAUCAUGGAGCAAGACCCCAUCUGCUGAAGCACCCAAAAAAGUAAAUCGAAAGCAAAAUGUGGGCACCACGGACAUUACUAAUCCCCAGAAGUGCUUCCAGGGCCCCUGAGGGGUAGUGGCUUCGUGGAGCCUGACCCCAUCUGCUGAGGGUCUUUAGCGGAAGAGAGAGUUUCAUUUGCCUGGUUGGCUUACCGUGAAUCUGGAGGAGAGGCAGGGAAGCAACCAGUCGUCUGUCUCCUAAAGAUCUCUUCCAAUUCUACGUCGAUAAGAUCAUGUAUUUCUUCACUGUUGGACUCUUGGAAUGAUGUCCAAGACAACCUACCCACUAAUGCUUAUUUUCUCCAAUUUGUCUACAGACUACAAUUAUUUCAAUCACAGUUGUUAUCAGACUGGAAUUAGUGUUCAUAUUUGCCAGCAACUUUUAUGUAAUAAAUCAGAGUUAAGCUACUACAUGAAACAGAGUCUUGCCAAAUGAGUGCUGCUUUGGUUCUCACUGAACUGUCUGAGAACCCAUGACCAACUGCUUCUU